rnacentral:lncRNA from 1 species
CUUAAGCAAUGUGUCUGUGGGAGUCUGUCGAGGCGGUGGCCUCAGCAGGUCUCCUGGCCUUACCAACUCACGCCCACUGUAGGGAUGAGCCGCUAGCAGCAGCUAGCACAUCCCUUCCAAACGUGAGCGGGUCCUGCCCCAGGCACGUGGAGGUGCCCCUGCUGCUGCACGGGGUGCAGCCAACGUGUGGGAGCAGGGCCUGGGGUCUUGGAUGACAUGCUGGGCACAACCAUGGGGGCACUGGCAUGGGGAAGGGGGAAGCAGUGGGCUGACAGCUUCCUAGACUGGUGGUCUGACCCAGCGCCCAGGAUAGACCGGAGUUACAUAUGCAUGCACCUCUGUUAGUCUGAAGCCCUUCUGCCUGCAUGAAUUCAACUUUCCCCCUUGGAUAACAUCGCCUCUCUUAAUUUUAAUUUUGCUGAAAGGAAGCAGGUAGUGCUUUGGCAGUUCACAAGAGAGCCCAGCAUCUCUCUGAGCCUUCAGCAGCCUGUUUCCGGCCAUGGUUUGAACAGGUUUCUAUAUUAGUCGCUGUGUUUCCUGUGAGGCCAUUUCUGAUAAGCUCUGCAUUUACUGUCCUGUGUUCUUCUCUUGCCUCGGCUGUGCCUCAGAGGGGCUGGGUAUUUAUUGACGGUGCCAUGCAGAUGGAGGAGGGCCACGGUGCCGUUAUCUGGGCAGAAUCUCAGGUGGGGAGCAGGCCGUGCACAGCCAACCCAGAGACAUGCAACCACGGCUAUUUUGGCUCGAACCACUCAGCAACAGGAUGCCGAUCAGGACCAGCAUUAGGGAGGGCUAUAAGAAAACAGGCCAAGCAUAUGCCAUAUGGACUCCAAGUACUGCCCCGGCUUCUGGACAUUCCUGGCUCGGUAGUGUCGCUGUGUUUCCUGACACUCUCCAUGAGUUUUUCUUCCACAAAUUUUCUUCCUAUGGCUUUUCAAUCUCUGUAAACGUUGAGCAUCUGCAGGGUCCCCCUGCAUCAGCAAGGGGUUCCUCUGGUUAACCCUUGGUGCCUGCAAUUUGGGCUUUCAGAUCUGGAACAGGUGCGAGGGAACUCAUCCCAGCCAAUAGCCACUGCAAUCGCACCCUCUGUGCCCGUAUAAGAAAACCGCCAGACACAAAAGCCACCCAUCCCUCCAUAUAAUUUGGAAGGGGGGAGUCCCAGCUACUGCUGACACUGAAUAACACGAAUUUUCACUGCUGUUUUAAAGCUCAAAUAGGGACCACUGUUAUAUUCAUAGAAAUCAGUGGGAGAUUUGUCAUUCAUAGUCUGAUCGUAUGAGUCUAACAAUAUGUAUAAAUAGGCUAUCGUCACACUUAUAUAACACUGUCUUAUUUAUGAUCUUAAGCCUAAGGGAGAGACAAUUCUUCCCCAGUCCUUUCUUCCUGGCAGAAAAACGUCAUUCAAAGCCCAGCUUCAAUCCUAUUGCAGAGGCCAGAUGCUUAACUAAACACUGAGAAAUUUCAAGUGCGGCAUUUCUCUUUCAACUUGCAAGAAGAAGGCAGCUGCUGGGAUCUGCGUGCCUGUGAUUAAAUAUAGCGCUCGAGCCAGAGAGCCUUCAGGAACGACCUCUGCCUUCUCCACCACCUGGGAGCCAAUGCGUGUCAGAGGCAAAAUGUCCCACGUUACCCUGGACAGAGAGCUCACGUCCCUUUUGGGUUUCAUCUGAGCAGUUUCCAAAGCUGACCACUUCCAAUGAGUACGUCUCACAGCAAACCGAGAGGAGGGGAUCAACUUGCUUCCAGGGUUUCACUUCUCUGGCUCUGCAGCAUCUCCACAAUCUGUGGCCAAAAAUAUUAGUUUAAUCCCCACGGUGAGCACUUGAAAAUUCAGGAUUAUAGUUCCCCGGGCUUGUCUUAUCCACCUCACUUGUACGGCGGCUUUA